CUUAGAAACUAUUAUAACAGAAGCUUAAGCAUAAUAUAUUAAAUUGCUAAGUAAUGAAUAGUGAUGAUAGCAAAAGUUCAUUAGCGUGUUGUGUCCUUCCAUCCAUAUUCACGAGCUCUGUUUUCCCAUAAAGCUGUUAGCCUGCGUUCUUGAAUGAGCUGUGUCUCUGCCCUCUCUCUUGCUUCUUCACAAGUUUCCACCGCCAAGUUGCACUUUACUGCUUCCUCUUGAGAGCAUAGUCACUGGAUCCUUAUGCAUUUCUUCACUCAUAGCUGGAUCAUGUUUACCGCAGUCUGCACUUAUAUUAUAGAAAGAGAAGGGGGAAAAGCUUACCCGAAGGAUUGAAGGGAUACUCAGGCAGAGAGCAAAAGCAUUCUUCACAUGAAGGACAUGGAGAAUGAACAGUUGUGGC